rnacentral:lncRNA from 1 species
AUGCCUUGGAUUACACACAUGUUGUUUGUGGGUUUAAAUGAUAUUUUUUCAUGUCAAGAGUUUGACAGUCUAUUGUGCAAUUGUUCAGUUAAAGGCUGUAGAGAAAAAAUGAUGAGAAAGACUACAUGUCGCGUAUGUGACGUCACGUCAUCAACUUUUCCCUCCGCUGUCAAGUGGCUAAGCAAGGUUCCUGUAUUUCAAGAUGCUGGUGUGUUUUGUACCAGUCCUCAUUCGAGCAGGCACGGCUGUUGUUUCUUUCGGAUCCCUUCAGAUGUGAAGAAUCGCUGGCUCAAAUUGAUCCGGAACAGCUAAAGCCCCCAACCAGGACUGAUGGACACAGGAAUUUUCAGGUCAAGUGUUUUAUUAAUUUUACUGCAUCACAGUUAGCAGUGUCAGCAUACACAGCAGUAUCUACAACUGACCAGUGACCAAAUUAAGCACUUAACAACCACGAACAUGUCCACAAGUCUCCCAGUCCCUCAAAUUGUGCACAAUGCACCACCCCAUGUCAAUCAUAUUACACGCAAUAUGUGGGAUAGUGCCUUGUGCAUAUGUUGUGACUUUUCAUCAUGGCAUUAUUAAUGCAAUUAAUUAUUUAAGCAUCAAUCAGACCUCACAUGAACGUUUACACACCAAAAAUGUAACAGCGUAGCUUUUUAAGUGAGUUUAAGUGAGCAUUAAUUCCAUUUUUAUCACAAGUUUGCUUUCUAUAUUCUCUCCUCAGCACCAUCAUAUCCUGUUCCUGUGUGUCCUGCUUGCAAGUCAGCGCCUUGGAUUUGUAUACCAUUUCAAAUAAAUUAAGUUGACUGUAGUUAUGACCUUGAGCUGUGUUUCUUUGAGUCAAAAACAAUGUUUGUGUUUAAAAACAAUCAGACACAGUCUUUAACAGAAUACACGCUUACUUUAUUCCCAAUGUGAAAGAUGACAGUCAUUUACCUAGAUUAGUGUUUAUAACUUAGAUUUUAUUCAAAUCCUCAAGUUCAAUAUUCAUGUCAGAUAAAUUGUAUGGGCUGUGAGUGUGAUUUUAUAUUUUAUCACCACACACACUCAUUUGUAAAAAUCUUACCUGAUGUUUCAAUGGCUUAACUAUGAUAUUAAGCCUAAUUGCAAAGAUAUAAUUACAGUGUAGGACAAAAGACUGG